rnacentral:sRNA from 1 species
UGAAAUAACUCUUCUUCCUCUCUCCAUUUCUCUCUGUAAGUUUUCUUACUCACAAAGCAUCAAUGGCGAUACUUUCUUUGGUCUGUUAUGAUGGUAUCAAGAGCCAAGGUUCAUCAAGUUCUUGAAUUUUUUGCGAUUGGUAGUGAUAGCAGUGGAAGAUUUGCGGUUACGAGGCUCCGAAAGACAAGGCAACAAAGACAAUAUUAAUGAGAGGAAGGAGUAGUGGAGGUCUGUAUUACCAUUUCAACGGAUAAGUAGUGAUGUAUGGGGACCAUUUCCACAGUCUUCAGUUGGCAGAUUUGAUCACCAUAACCAUCAUGCAAUCUUAGUGCAUAGUGGUGUGAAUUCAAUGGUUCAGAAUACAUCCUCAGUGCAUGCUAGUCCAGUGUCAUCUGAUAUUAUUUAGGAUGUAAACUCAUCUUCUCAUAUACAGACUUCCUCUCUCAAUACCACUCCACACUCCUCUCCUCAAACUACAUCUUUGUUGCCUAUCC